rnacentral:lncRNA from 1 species
CAUCGAUUCCGAACAAAGGGGGACAACAGAAGAGCACCGAUAGUUGCAAGAUUCCUAUAUCACCGUGAUCUUGAAUAUGUUUUAGCAAAUAUAUACCAGACUAAAAGGUAGACCAUACGGAAUACGGGAGCAAUUUCCUCAUGAAAUUGAACAAAAGCGGAAGGAACUGUAUCCGGUGUUAAAACAGGCCAAACAGCAAAAUAGACAAGCCUCUCUUGUGCGUGAUAGGCUAUACAUAGACAACCAGCUCUACAUUCCUAACACGGUACUAGAGGACACUAGAACGGAGCAUACUGGCUCUUCAUCAACAAACCAUGACACGAGCCCAAAAGGGUCUUAUUCUAGUGAUACCCCUCCUAGCAAAAGACAGCGACAGGGACCGUCUCCUGGCCCACCGCAC